rnacentral:lncRNA from 1 species
AGCCUUGGGGGAUCGGGCUGGCCCACUUCGUCCGCCGGACUCUUAAUGCCGUGAGACUUUGCUAGGGGCCUCCGUGUGCCAAAAACAGGCCGUGGGCAAAGCCGCAUCCAAAAAUAACCGCCCGAAGGCCGGAGCGCCAAGUUCGUCCAGCGGAAAAAGGCCACAAAAACGGGUGGGUUAUAGCAUUGGGGGGUGGGGCUGGCCAACUUCGUCCGCCGGACUCGGAAUGCCGCGACACUUUGCGACGGGCCUCCGUGUGCCAAAAAUAGGCUGUGGGCAAAGCCGGGCCCAAAAAUAACCGCCCGAAGGCCGGAGCGACAAAUUCGUCCAGCGGAAAAAGGCCACAAAAAAGGCUGGGCUAUAGCCUUGGGGGGUGGGGCUGGCCAACUUCGUCCGCCGGACUAGGAAUGCCGCGAGACUUUGCGAGGGGCCUCCGUGUGCCAAAAAUAGGCCGUGGACAAAGCCACGCCCAAAAAUAACCACCCGAAGGCCGGGGCGCCAAGUUCGUCCACCGGAAAAAGGCCACAAAAACGGGCGGGCUAUAGCCUUGGGGGGUGGGGCUGGCCAACUUCGUCCGCCGGACUCGGAAUACCGCGAGACUUUGCGAGGGGCCUCCGUGUGCCAAAAAUAGGCUGUGGGCAAAGCCGCGCCCAAAAAUAACCGCCCCAAGGCCGGGCCGCCAAGUUUGUCCAGCGGAAAAAGGCCGCAAAAAAGGGUGGGCUAUAGCCAUGGGGGGUGGGGCUGGCCAACUUCGUCCGCCGGACUCGGAAUGCCGCGAGACUUUGAGAGGGGCCUCCGUGUGCCAAAAAUAGGCCGUGGACAAAGCCGCGCCCAAAAAUAACUGCCCUAGGGCCGGGGCGCCAAGUUCGUCCAGCGGAAAAAGGCCACAAAAAAGGGUGGGCUAUAGCCUUGGGGGGUGGGGCUGGCCCACUUCGUCCGCCGGACUCGGAAGGCGGCGAGACUUUGUGAGGGGCCUCCGUGUGCCAAAAAUAGGCCGCGGGCAAAGCCGCGCCCAAAAAUAACUGCCCGAAGGCCGGGGCGCCAAGUUCGACCAGCGGAAACAGGCCACAAAAACGGGUGGGCUAUAGCCUUGGGGGGUGGGGCUGGCCAACUUCGUCCGCCGGACUCGGAAUGCCGCGAGACUUUACGAGGGGCCACCGCGUGCCAAAAAUAGGCUGUGGGCCAAGCCGAGUCCAAAAAUAACCGCCCGAAGACCGGGGCGCCAAGUUCGUCCAGCGGAAAAAGGCCACAAAAACGGCUGGGCUAUAGCCUUGGGGGGUGGGGCUGGCCAACUUCGUCCGCCGGACUCGGAAUGCCGCGAGACUUUGCGAGCGGCCUCCGUGUGCCAAAAAUAGGCCGCAGGCAAAGCCGAAUCCAAAAAUAACUGCCCGAAGGCAGGGGCGCCAAGUUCGUGCAGCGGAAAAAGGCCACAAAAACGGGUGGCUAUAGCCUUGGGGGGUGGAACUGGCCCACUUCGUCCGCCUAACUCGGAGUGCCGCGAGACUUUGCGAGGGGCCUCAGUGUGCCAAAAAUAGGCCGUGGGCAAAGCCCGGGCCCAAAAAUAACCGCCCGAAAGCCGGAGCGACAAAUUCGUCCAGCGGAAAAAGCCACAAAAACGGGUGGGCUAUAGCCUUGGGGGAUCGGGCUGGCCAACUUCGUCCGCCGGACUCUUAAUGCCGUGAGACUUUGCGAGGGGCCUCCGUGUGCCAAAAACAGUCCGUGGCAAACCGCAUCCAAAAUACCGCCCGAUGCCGGGCGCCAAGUUCGUCAGCGGAAAAAGGCCACCAAAAACGGUGGGCUAUAGCGUUGGGGGGUGGGGCUGGCCAACUUCGUCCGCCGGACUCAGAAUGCCGCGAGAUUUUGCGAGGGGCCUCCGUGUGCCAAAAAUAGGCCGUGGGCAAAGCCGGGCCCAAAAAUAACCGCCCGAAGGCCGGGGCGCCAAGUUCGUCCGGCGGAAAAAGGCCACAAAAACGGGUGGGCUAUAGCCUUGGGGGGUGGGGCUGGCCAACAUCGUCCGCCGGACUCGGAAUGCCGCGAGCCUUUGCGAGUGGCCUCCGUGUGCCAAAAAUAGGCCGCGGGCAAAGCCGCAUCCAAAAAUAACCGCCCGAAGGCCGGGGCGCCAAGUUCGUCCAGCGGAAACAGGCCACAAAAACGGGCGGGCUAUAGCCUUGGGGGGUGGGGCUGGCCAACUUCGUCCGCCGGACUCGGAAUGCCGCGAGACUUUAUGAGGGGCCUCCGUGUGCCAAAAAUAGGCCGCGGGCAAAGGCGCGCCCAAAAAUAACUGCCCGAAGGCCGGGGCGCCAAGUUCGUCCUGCGGAAAAAGGCCACAAAAACGGGUGGGCUAUAGCCUUGGGGGGUGGGGCUGGCC